rnacentral:misc_RNA from 1 species
GUGGUGCCGGGCGUUUGGCGUUCGCGGGAUCCCCUGCCGAGUGCAGCCGACCGCGAGCCCCGCGCCUGUUCAUUUGUCCCUUAAGGAGGGCAGAGCGGGGCGGUCUGUGCAGAGCUAGUCGGAUUGCGGCAAUUUCUCGAACUUUAAGCGACUCGCGUCGCCUCUCCCUCACCUGCGCUGCGCGCGUGCGGUCGGGAGGCGACCAGGUGCGGCGCCCCGAGAUCCCGCCGACGGCCCUUUGGCGGCCGGUUGGGUCCUCGGUGCGCCAGCGUGCUAUGCGGAUUCGGUGGAUCGGAUGGCGGCGCUGGGGCGUUUCGCGCCUCGGCGCCCGAUGGUGCGCGGAAUGGCCUUCGGGCGGCGGCGCUCGGGCGCCAGCCCUGCUGCCGCGCGAAGGCCUGCGCGCGAGAUUCGGGAGCGACCGCCGGCGCUGGGCCACUCGGCGCGCUUGCGCCGCGAGGCGCGGGUUGUGUUUUGCGGCCCCGCGCGGGCGUCGUGCGGAGGAUUGCUACCUGGUUGAUN